ensembl:snRNA U6 U6 spliceosomal RNA
GUGCUUGCUUCGGCAGCACAUAUACUAAAAAUUGGAACAAUACAGAGAAGAUUAGCAUGUUCCCUGUGCAAGGAUGACACACAAAUUCAUGAAGCAUUAAAAUUUUUU